GGUCGGUUAGCUGAAUUGGUAAAGCAAUCAUCUGCGGAGUGAAAGGUUACUGGUUCAAAUCCAGUACUGAUAU
rnacentral:tRNA from 1 species